UACAGAGGUCCCAAGCGUUGUUCGGAUUCACUGGGCGUAAAGGGUGCGUAGGUGGUUAGGUAAGUCCGAUGUGAAAUCUCCAGGCUCAACCUGGAAAUGGCAUUGGAUACUAUUUAGCUUGAGGAGUGGAGGGGGGACUGGAAUUCUCGGUGUAGCAGUGAAAUGCGUAGAUAUCGAGAGGAACACCAGUGGCGAAGGCGAGUCCCUGGACAAUUCCUGACACUGAGGCACGAAAGCUAGGGGAGCAAACAGG
rnacentral:rRNA from 1 species